UGUCUAUACCUUAUGAACCUUGGAUUGGUAUGUCGAUGGAUUUUGUGUUAGGAUUACCUAGAACUAAGAAAAUAAGAGAUUCAAUCUUUGUUGUGGUCCAAUAGGUAUUCGAAAAUGGCUUAAUUCUUUGUUUGUCAUAGAACGGAUGAUGGCUUAAAUUGUUCUUUAGAGAAAUUGUACGUUUGCAUAGCAUUUCUAGGACAAUUGUUUUUGAUAAAGACACCAAAUUUCAUGUUCAAAAAAAGUGUUCAAAAAAAGACACCAAAUUUCUUAAGUCAUUUUUGGAGAAUAGUUUGAUCUAAAUAGAAUUAUAAAAGUAGAAUUAUAUAAGAGUUCUUUUUAGAAAUCAGAAUAUAUAUAUAUAUAUGUGUUGUUAUAAAAUAUAUUUAAUAUUUAAGAUAUCAAGAACUAUCAGUGGUAAGAAUGUGAUGCAUAUGAUAUUGGUAUAGAUGUUUUCUUGAUGCAUAUGAUAUUGGUAUAGAUGUUUUCUUGAUGCAAGAAAGUAAGCUCGUUACUUUCUUCAUUGAGAAAUUAGGUGAGCAAUUUUAAACUACCUAACGUGUGACAAUGAGUUGUAUGCUUUGGUUCGAGUUUUGCAAAUUUGGCAACACUAUUUUUGGCGUAAGGAAUUUGUCAUCCACAAGGAUCAUGAGUCUUUCAAACAUUUUAAAGGCCAGCAAAAACUGAACAAAAGACAUGCUAGGUGGGUUACGUUCAUAGAAGCAUUUUCUUAUGUCAUCCGCUACCAAAAACAUUGGGUGAUGAUUAUCUGUGAAUUUAUCUACGCCUGAAUCAUCUUCAUCUAAGGUAAAAGUGUCAAAGCUUCACAAGAGAAAGCAUCAGAUCACUGCGUUAUUCAUGGACAUGAAGCACAAGGAGACAGAGCUAGCAGAGAGACGUUUAAAAGGAUUGCUCACUAAAGCCGACACACAAGCUAAAUACGGAUGGUGACUUGCUCUUGUUUCUCUCAAUCUUGUGACAUUGGCAACUGACUUUCUGUAACUCAUUUCCUUGUAUGAAUGAAUCUACUCUCAGCAGAAUGCUUUGAUUGUCUCACAAGCUGUUUAUAAGGGCUUUAUCGAUUUGUAAA